AUGUUCCAGGAGCUUGCACCACAUGACCCACAUGACAAGUGUGGUCACCACUAUGUGAUCUGUCUUGACUUGAAGAACCAAUGCUUUGAGGUCCUUGAUUCAAUGCGUUCGGCAGCUGAUGCAGACCUUACUUCGCAUGCUGAGUUCUUCAUUAACAAUGUCAAAGAGACAUGGAACCGUCACUACAAAAACUCAAAGGUCCAGAUCAGACAUUUCCCGAUUGAGUACGUGGCGACUACGAAUCAAGGGAACAUGACGGACUGUGGAUUUCACACGUUGGAAUACUUUGCAAAGUGGGAAGGUUGA
rnacentral:rRNA from 1 species